AUGGCACAUUAUCAUAGAGUUUCCCAACACUGGACAUUAAGAGGAUCAGGAAUGAGAAUGAAGUUGGACUUCACACUAGCAACACAGUAGGCUAGAAAACGUGGAACAACAUUAUUAUAAUUCAAAGAGAAGAUGAUUUCCAACUUGUAAGUUCUCAAAAAAUAUAUUUCAUAUCCAUCUUUUUCAGGAAGCUACUGGAGAGGUAUCCAUAAAAAUAAGAGAUUAAAUCAAGAAUGAGGAAGCUAUGGAAUCCAGGAAAAGAAGGAAAUGUAAAAAGAACUACAUUGAGAUAAUAUUUUCCCCUGCUUAUCAGAUUGUCAAAGAUUAAAAAGGACAUGCUUCUAGAUGCCGAUUAGCUUUAUGCAGAAACUAC